rnacentral:rRNA from 1 species
GAUGAACGCUAGCGGGAGGCCUAACACAUGCAAGCCGAGCGGUAUUGUUUCUUCGGAAAUGAGAGAGCGGCGUACGGGUGCGGAACACGUGUGCAACCUGCCUUUAUCUGGGGGAUAGCCUUUCGAAAGGAAGAUUAAUACUCCACAACAUAUUGAUUGGCAUCAAUUAAUAUUGAAAGCUCCGGCGGAUAGAGAUGGGCACGCGCAAGAUUAGCUAGUUGGUGAGGUAACGGCUCACCAAGGCGAUGAUCUUUAGGGGGCCUGAGAGGGUGAUCCCCCACACUGGUACUGAGACACGGACCAGACUCCUACGGGAGGCAGCAGUGAGGAAUAUUGGUCAAUGGGUGCAAGCCUGAACCAGCCAUCCCGCGUGAAGGACGACUGCCCUAUGGGUUGUAAACUUCUUUUGUAUAGGGAUAAACCUACCCUCGUGAGGGUAGCUGAAGGUACUAUACGAAUAAGCACCGGCUAACUCCGUGCCAGCCGCCGCAGUAA